AGUAGAACGUGGAAUGGAGCCUCUGGUGUGAACUUUGACCGAAUGGGAGGGGAAAUAGUCACUGUCUUGGCAGAAUGUAAUUUCCCUGUGGCGCAUUUGUCUGUUGAUGUCACCAUCGUUCCAUUUGGCUGCAGAUGAAAACAUAUGAUCCGGUUGGAAGGUUAUUGGAUAUAUAUGAAAAUAACAUCCUGAAGAUUGAUUCUCUACUUAGUUUGACCAGUUUAUUCGACCUGGAAUAUAUCUUUUUGAAGUUUUCGUCCGAGUUCUCCUUGACCAGCGUCAGCUUUUGGGCACGUGAGCUGAAAGUGCUAGCAAAUGCAGCUAAUUGGACACUAGUAUUGGACAUUAUGGAACAAAACAACGAUUUAUUGUGGAACUAGGACUCCUUGCACUGCAUUCUGAUGAAAGAUCAUCAAACUUCUAUCCAGAGCCCCGUGCUGCCCUGUGGACAACCAGAGAGGGCUUCUGAAGAAGGAGAAGCUCAGCUGAGCUGCUCAGUUCCUACAGCUCCCCUUGGAGGAUGCGCACAUGAGGAGGACCAGGAGGAGGAACAUUGGAGGAGAGCAGGAAGAAGGAUACUGGCAGAACUACAGGACACACUCAAACACAUACCUUGACGUGAUUGGUCCACACGGCACACCGGAUGCUCACAGAGAAGAAUAUUUGGAUCUGUGCUGCUCUUCAUACAGUACUGGACGUGUCAUUUACUGAGAAAUAAAGAGAAGGACAGUCAUCGGUGGAUAGAGAUUGACGUUGAACUACAGACUGUAGAAAACCUGGGGCUAGCAGAGACUACUAUGGAGUCAGCACAGAAUAAAGCUCAACCAACCUCUCCUCAUAAACAUACAGUGAAGAACAGGUCCAAGUCAACAGACGAGAUUCAACAAGCCAAAAAGGCUUUUCACACGACACAGAAAUCAUUGCCAGGGAAGCCGGAGACUGAGAAUAAGGAGCCCCCAGAGAGUCCAUCCUCAUCAGAAGAACUGAAAUGAAGGGGCAGACAGCACCAGGCAGAGAGUCAUGGGCUACAUCAAUCAUUCCUCUGGAAAUCUAUUCAGUUUUCUGCAGUUUGUAUUCUCAUAACGACAAAAAGGCUGUACAUUUUUUGUAAACGUCUUAUGAAUGUGAUUGUUUACUAAAUAAGAAAAAGUGUCAAAUGCAUUGUUUGUGAGGAUAGAAUGUUCAAAGAAUGACUAGAGACUUACUCUACAAAACACAGACACUUAACAGAAAGCUGUAAUUAAGCGAGUGGAAAACAUAUGUGCAUGUGCCAGUUGGGAUGUGUGUAAGUAUGAGGUAUAGUGGAUUUGUUAUGUACACUCUCCUAAAACAUUUUGUUUUUUGGAACUUAUGUCAGAAUUAAUGUCAGUAUGCCACUUUGAAAAUGUGAAGCAAUUGAGCCUGUAAAUAAACCUUGUGUAUGUUCAAAAAA